rnacentral:tRNA from 1 species
UCCGCGGUAGCUCAAUGGUAGAGCAUUUGACUGUUAAUCAAAGGGUUACAGGUUCGAGUCCUGUCCGCGGAGCCA